ensembl:lncRNA
GCUGGAGUGGAAACAGAGAUUCAUGCGUACAGAACAGCCACCAAAUUAUCACUGAAGGACAUUAUCAUGUAGCUCGUGGAGUACCAAUCCCAAUGCUUACAAAGGUAAAACAAGAACUGGACAGAAUGGAGUGGCUGGGUGUGAUUUAAGAGGUUUCUGAGCCCACUCCAUGGUGUGCCCCAAUGGUGCCAGUUGCCAAAAGGAAUGGAGACAUUAGUGUUACAUCCCACAUAAGUCUAGGGGUACAGGUGGACGCAACAAAAGUAAAAUAUUUUAAAGAGCGUUAAUCUGAGACCUGCCACAGCACCACAAGCAACAAUUGUCGAGAAAAAGAUUUUAUUUUACAGCUCGUGGAACAAAUACAAAAGGGAAAAAACACAGGAAGCAAUAGCUUCAGGAGAGGAUAAGGCCAAAAUAAUAAACAAAAAUAUAAUCUAACUGGAGUAGUUUACCUCUAACUAAACUAACAAAGAAAAGAAAAGAAAAUAACAGGAUUGUACCCUAACUCCCUUCCUGGCCCCAAAACAGGAGAAAACAGGGUUAAACAAAAAUGGCACCCACCUCCCUACAGCUUCCAAAAUAGAACUACUAAGCAAAACGCAAAUAGGCAAACCUUAAAGUAGCUGCUAAGAGGGACAUUAAUAAUAGCAGCUGUAAACCAAGUAACAAACUAAAAAGUAAAGAAGAAUAUAAAUCUCUUUAACUAAAACAACAAAAGUAAGGGUUGGAGAAUAUCACAAUAAACAAAUAAACGAACAUACUACCAUACCAAAGUAGAACACUAAACAGCUCAACCACCACCAGUUGUAACUGCAGCAACAGGCUGGGCAGGACAAAGACCAACGCUCUGGAGAAAGCUCUUGGGGAACGUUUUUCUCCCAGUCUGGUAGCUGGAGCUCUGCUUUAUGCUGGCUCACUCUUAAUUGGUAAGCAGUUACAGCUGGGAGCAAUCAACUACCUGCCAGGCAGAUUGAGUAGGAGGAGUCAAGAAGAAACAACGAAAGAAAAAAAAGAACACAUUAAAGAAAGUAUAAAUUAAUAAAGACUUCGUCUCUGGACGUAACAUUAGAAUAUGUGUCGACCUCAAACGACUAAACUAAGCCGUCAUUCGUGAAAAGUAUGUUUUGCCAACCUUGGAUGACAUCACUUCUAAACUGGCAGGGGCGACAGUCUUUUCUAGCCUCGACACUGCCAGCGGUUUCUGGCAGAUACCGUUAGAUGAUGCUAGCAAGAGGUUGACUACUUUUAUAACCC